UCUGGCACUGCUCAGAGAUUGAAGUGGCAUGCAACAAUAUUCAGGUGAGCCCUGCAUAUACGCAAUUCCUUUGUCUGGUGCAGAAAGCAGGAAUUUAGCCAUACAGGUAGAGGUGCUCCUGUCUGGGAUGUUUCCCAGUCCUCAGGUGGGUUUCGAAGCUGAGAGGAUUCAAUGGGAAUAAAUGAAGUUGGCAGCAGCUGACUGACAUAUCAGUAGAAGGAUUCCAGACUCUCCAUCUCCCAGAACCUGGUGAGCCUUAAAAGUUAGGAGAGGUAAUGUGUUCCAAGAAGUUAUUGGUCCUGCCAGCCUCCUCCUUCGCUCAAGACGCUGCUUUGCUUUCUUUUGACUCGGCUUCAAUUUGCACCUACAAACACACUUGGUAUUACAAUCACAGGUGAAGAACAUUUUCUGCCUUAAAAGACUCCGGUCCCUAUAGCUGGCUAAGGGUGCUGGGAAUCAUAGCUCUGUGAGGGGGGAGCUACAUUUCCCAGAAUUCUUUGGGAGGACAAUGUUUCAUGAUUCCUGGUACUGUCAACCUUUCAAGGCCUUUAUGCUGUUACAUUUGUAGCAGAGAUUAUUGGUGAGUAGGCCUUUGAGUAGAUAGAGAGGGAAGGACUUUAUUUAAAUGAGAGGGGCCUGGAUUCCUUCUUGUCACGGUAAUCCUGGCUGCCUGGACACUUCAGCUCACUUGGGUCACCUUCCUCUUGUCAGACCUUCACAGGGGGGCACCCUCUCAGACAAACACAGCCCCUGGCUCCCUUCUUCUGAUCUUCCCCAAAUGAGUAUAAAUAACUAAUGGGGUCUUCAAAUCCUGGUCUGUUUCCUCCAGUUUUUCCUGGUCUCUUCCUCCCUGCACCUUCCUCACCGACUUCCUUUAUUCCCACAGACUCCUCUCAGCUGACUCUGCCCCCAAGUACAUGGAACUUUCAGCCAAACAGGGUCUGUGGUCACAAAGAGCAAUGAAGAUCCACGUACCUGAUUCUGGCCCUGCUUAAUCAAUUCUCAGUGCAUUUCUCUCUCCCUGCAUUCACAGGACCUCUCACCAAGGACUUCUACUGCUCACAAUUGCACACAAUAGUACCGGUGGUCACACAACAUUUUGCCCUCACAAUGCUGCCGUUCCCAACAUCCCUAAGAGUCUACAGUGCCCAGAGUUCUAUGAAGGGGAAAAGAUGCUUCAGAUGUGUUUUAAAGAAGUCG